UAACACGUAGGAGGCGAGCGUUGUCCGGAAUCAUUGGGCGUAAAGAGCGCGCAGGCGGCUUGGCAAGUCGGGUGUGAAAUCCCGGGGCUCAACCCCGUGACUGCAUCCGAUACUGUCAGGCUAGAGGUAGGUAGGGGAGAUCGGAAUUCCUGGUGUAGCGGUGAAAUGCGCAGAUAUCAGGAGGAACACCGGUGGCGAAGGCGGAUCUCUGGGCCUUACCUGACGCUCAGGCGCGAAAGCUAGGGGAGCGAACAGGAUUAGAUACCCUGGUAGUCCUAGCCGUAAACGUUGGGUGCUAGGUGUGGGCGGAUAUCAACCCCGUCCGUGCCGAAGCUAACGCAUUAAGCACCCCGCCUGGGGAGUACGGCCGCAAGGCUA
rnacentral:rRNA from 1 species